rnacentral:lncRNA from 1 species
GAAGAUUCUGAGUUCGUACUCACCUUACAUAUCCAGCCAGAGUGGGGGCGCGUGGUUUAGUGAAUAGCGUGUUGGACUCAUGAUCGUAAGGUUGUGGUUUCGAUUCCUGGACUGGGCGAAGCGCUGUUUUCUUAUACAAAACACUUCAUUUCACCUUGCUCCAGUAAUUCAGCUGGCAAAAAUGCGACUCACGGGGAGCCCGUCCUCGUGGGGAAUUUAUAUAUACACUAUGGUAACUGGGAAUCCAUCUUAUGAGUCGGCGGGACUCGAGGAGGAAUACUUUAUUGUGCCCCCCAACGUUAAAGCCAACGUCGUCGAAAUUUGAACUUAAAACAUAAAAGACGAAUGUAAUUAGUUCGAUGUUCUAAUGGCAAACGCUUGUUUCUUAUAUAACACGCGAUAAGCCGAGCAGGUUGAAAUUGCUUCAUCCUCGGUUCGAUUCCCGGUAGGAGACUUAAAACACUUGUAAUAUACAUUGCCAUAAGACAUGAACAUCACAACAUCACAAAUCUCUUCCUUACAGGCUUUGAUACAGGAAGGAGAGAACAAUGGCGACUAUUUAAAGAAAAAAUUUAUUCAAACACAUGACAUUUGUUCUCAACGCAAAAUAUCGCACACAUACACACGAUAUACAUACAUAUAUACACACAUAAAUACAUACACACAUACGCACACAUAUACAUACAUAUGCACACACAUUCAUAUGUAUAUAUCCACAUACAUAUGUAUACACAUACAUACAUAUGUAUAUAUCCACAUACAUAUAUAUAUAUAUAUAUAUCCACAUACAUAUAUAUACACGUACAUAUAUAUAUAUAUACACAUAUACGCAUACACACACAUAUAUAUACAUAGCAAUAAUAAUAAUAAUGAUAAUGAAUAUUUUAAUGCGUAUCUACAAAUCAAAUGUUUCUGAAGAUCAUUCUUAGUCCGGAGUAUGAUCUUGAAUAAAUAGAGUUUUGUGGAAACGCGCGUAGCAAUGCAUUAAAAUAUUCAUAAGUUCCAUCCAAGGAUUUUUAUUAUCAUUACUAUAUUUAUCCUACAAUAUAUCGGCACAGCUCGCUGUCAGCCCCCAAAAAAAACUGGUAUCCCCAGUUGGGAUCACGAGGCCGUAGCCGGGAUAAUAAUACAAUAAGAGUUUUACAUGUAUGUUCAAAACAUUUCCCGCAAACGUACGUAAAAGAUAUAUAUAUAUAUAUAUUACACACAACCACACAUGUCAAUUUAACCCUCUAGGGUAAAUGCGUGUGUGCAUGUGUGUGUGUGUGUGGGUGUGCGUGUCUAUUUAUUUAUGUAUCUUUCCAUUUAUGCCAUUUCCACAGGCACUUAUCAAUCCAUCCAUCCAUCCACCCAUUCCUCCGUCUGUCUGAAUGCCUGAAGAAGUGUAUCAGUCUACCAAUCAAUCUGUGUGGCUGUAUGUGUGUGCAUGGCUGUAUGUAUGGGUUAAGUACAAAUAUAUCUUUCUGUUUUUUGGGUUUUUUAAAAAAAUCUUUUGCUUGUUUCAGUCAUUGGACGCUGGCACUUAGUUUGAAGUCUGGUGAUCAUCGUAUCGAGCUAAUUUGCCAAACCUUGCUGCGUCAUAAACAAACGAGCACCGGCUGUCGUGAGUUGGCAGGAGAGACAGACGUAGGCUGAAACACAAACACACACACACACACCCACACACACAAUUAAACACACACUCACGUAUAUUCGAUAGGCUUCCACACAGUUUCCCGAUUCACUCAAUAGGAAUUGGGCGGUUCAGGGGCAUGGCGGAAAGACGCCUCUUCUGAGUUCCGUACGGUGGGAUUGGGCCCGAGACAACCUGUUGGCAGGGCGAGCCUCUUAACUGCACAGAUGUACCAAGGACAAACCGCGCCGCCGAGAGUCGAACUUACGGCCUUAUGAUCGCCAGCCGAAUACCUUAUCCACUGUGCCACGCACCUUCACUAUAUAUAUAUAUAUAUAUAUAUAUAUAUAUAUAUAUAUAUAUAUAUAUAUAUAUAUAUAUAUAUAUACGCCAGCCAAACUUGUUUGCACUGUUAUUAGUCGUAAGACACCUGCUGUUUUUACCAUUAUUGCUUUUGUAUUUCAUUAUUGUUUUUUGUUUUUUAUAUUCGUGUGGCACCGUCCGGUUUGCUGUCCCUGUGUUCGUAUGCAUUCGAUCCUUCUUUCAGGAGAUCUACGCUCCUAGCUUAGUUUUUCUAAUGCUCGUUGCUUGGUUUUUUCUGGAGGGCUGGCCGGAUCUGGUGGUCUCAAGAUUGAUCGGCCGAGGUUGCUGCGAUGAUCCGGUUCUUGGCUGGGGACUGGGGGCUUCGGGUGUCCUGUCUGUGUUUGUUGUGUCGUCUUCUGGGUGUUGUGCGUUCUUGUCACAGUUUGUAUUUUUUUUUACAUAUCAUAAUAUAUAUAUAUAUAUAUAUAUAUAUACAUAUGUAUAUAUACAUAGAAACACAGGUAUCUGUCUGUGUGUCUGCCUAUCUCUCAAUUAGAGUUUAUCUACCUAUCUUCUUUUGUAAAU